rnacentral:rRNA from 1 species
UACGUAGGGGGCAAGCGUUGUCCGGAAUCAUUGGGCGUAAAGAGCGUGUAGGCGGCCCGGUAAGUCCGCCGUGAAAGUCCAGGGCUCAACCCUGGGAUGCCGGUGGAAACUGUCGGGCUAGAGUCCGGAAGAGGCGAGUGGAAUUCCUGGUGUAGCGGUGAAAUGCGCAGAUAUCAGGAGGAACACCGGUGGCGAAGGCGGGUCUCUGGGCCGAUACUGACGCUGAGGAGCGAAAGCGUGGGGAGCGAACAGG